GCAUUCUCCCUGCACCCAAACCCCUAAAGAGGAAGGAUUCUUGCUUAUGGAAGGAAAGCUAGGUGAGCCUAAAGAAAAAGUUGGGGAUGGAGGUAGUAGGAGUUAGAGUGAGAGGAAAACAUUCUGGGAAUGGAUGUUGGAGGUUUGGAGAUGCUGGAGAAAGGUUUGCAACUGCAGAGUGCAAAGGAGGUAGAUUAGACAGGAGAGAGGAUUUUAAUAAGCGCUGCAGUGAAAUAUGCAUUUGGGUUUUUUUGAAAUUUCCUUGAGAGAUGCAAGCAAAAGUGGAAGCCUUUUAUAAUUUUUUUUCUGUUGACUUUUGCUUCUUGUUUUUUUGUUUUGUUUUGUUUUUGAGACAGAGUCUCACUCUGUCACCCAGGCUGGUGUGUAGUGGUGCAAUCUCAGCUCCCUGCAGCCUCCGCCUCCCAGGUUCAAGCGAUUCUUGCCCCAGCCUACCAAGCAGCUGGGACUGCAGGUGUGCGCCAUCACACCCGGCUACUUGUAGUAUUUUCAGUAGAGAUGCGUUUUCGCCAUGUUGGCCAGGCUAGUCUCAAACUCCUGGUCUCAAAUGAUCUGUCCGCCUCAGCCUCCCAAAGUGCUGGAACUACAGGCGUGAGCCACCGCGCCAGGACAACUUUAGCUUCUUUAAAUGCAACUCUGCAGAAAUGGCAUGUGAAGAUUCAAGAAGAUGGCCGUCUGUAAAACCAGGAAGUGGAUCCUCACCAAAUACUGGAUUGGCCAAGCACCUUGAUCUUGAACUUCUCAGCCUUCAAAACUUGCUGAUCUACAAUCUUACACUACAUUAUACUGUCUCUCCAUCUGGUAGCAAAACCCUUCGUGGCUAAUGGCUGCAUUUUGCCUAAGGCUGUCAGUAAAGUGAACAAUGCAUUGAAGAAUGUGGAAUGAAAAACAAGAAGAGAAGCAGAGAUGUCAUCCGAACGUAUCAGCAUUAAAAUACUGAAGCAGGGAGACAAGUUAGCUAUUGAGUUCAUCACCUAUAGCUCUGUGGAGCUAUUCAUUGUCUGCAAUGCCUCCUCAUGUCUAGACUCUGUUCUGGCUCAGGCAUUGAUGGGCAGUCUCCAGCAACCAAUCAACACCUUCCUUGUUCCCUUCUAGACAACAGAAGAAAAACCAUGCCUCUUGUAGUACAGUUUGAAGUCAGGUAGUGUGAUGCCUCCAGCUUUGUUCUUUUGGCUUAGGAUUGACUUGGUGAUGCGGGCUCUUUUUUGGUUCCAUAUGAACUUUAAAGUAGUUUUUUCCAAUUCUGUGAAGAAAGUCCUUGGUAGCUUGAUGGAGAUGGCAUUGAAUCUGUAAAUUACCUUGGGCAGUAUGGCCAUUUUCACGAUAUUGAUUCUUCCUACCCAUGAGCAUGGAGUGUUCUUCCAUUUGU